CGAAGUCACUCCAACAUUGAUAGAAGAAUGGUGAGCGCAAGUGCAAUGCGUGCUGUACAACCCGCAAUCCUCUCCUCCUUUGUGGGUACCCACUUGCUUCACUCACCGCAGCCUCUCCACCAACUCUUCCGCUACAACCCAGGAAGCAAGCGUUCGGUGAUGCAAUUAUACACAACUUUUCUGGCUUGACCAACCAACCAACCCUCUUGCUGAAGCGCACAAAUUAUGGCAUUGACCUAUAGUGUGCUAAAGUCUAGUUCUUCGACCAUCAGAUUGAUGUUUAUGCCUAGUUCUCUUUUCGGGGUCCCAAAUGUGAUGAGAAUAUGGAGCCUUCAGCGUGGAAUCUCAAUCUUGUCCACGAAUAGCAAACCACCCUCUUCUUCCAAACUCCAUUACUGCCUACAACUUUGCAGCAAUUCAAAGUCUCUAAAUCAAGGAAAACAAACCCAUCAAAAGAUAAUCCAAUGUCAGUUGGGUAAAAAUCCAUUCCUAGUCACCAAAUUAGUCCAGAUGUAUGCAGACUGCGAUGAUUUGGCAUCUGCCCGAAAGUUGUUUGACGAAUUGUUGGAACCAAAUGUGUUUGCUUGGACUGCUAUCCUCGGAUUCUAUUCAAGGCAUGGAAUGUAUGAAGAAUGUGUGGGAGCAUAUGGUGAAAUGAUAUUGAGGGGAGUUUUGCCAGAUGGGUAUGUGUUCCCUAAGGUCUUGAGGGCUUGUGCACAUUUCUCAAGCUUAAAAGUGGGAAUUCGGGUUCACAAAGAUGUCAUCAUAAGUGGUUUUGAGAUUAACGUGCAGGUUUGUAAUUCAUUGAUUGAGAUGUAUUCAAAAUGUGGGGAUAUUAUGUGUGCUAAGCAAGUUUUUGAUGAGAUGGUGGGAAGAGAUUUAUUGACAUGGAACUUAAUUAUCUCAGGAUAUGUGUGUAAUGGAAUGCUUGGAUUGGCUAUCGAACUAUUUGGUUGUAUGAAUUCGGAUGGUUGUGAGCCUGAUGUUGUCACUUUGAAUACGGUAAUGGAUGCUUAUUGCCGAAUGGGGCUCUGUGAUGAGGCUAAGGGAAUCUUUAAACAUAUUAAGGAGCCUAAUAUCAUUUCAUGGACCACUUUGAUAUCAGGAUAUUCAAGAAUUGGGAAUCAUGAAGCAUCCUUGGGGAUUUUCAGGGAUAUGAUGAAUAGCAGUAUGGUCUACCCUGAUUUAGAUUCUCUUUCUAUUGCUCUUGUUUCCUCUCGGCAUCUUGGGUCUUUGUUAAGUGGAAAAGAAAUCCAUGGUUAUGGGUUAAAAAGGGAAUCUGGCAUUGUAUUUUACAUCUCAGCUGGCCCUGCAUUGUUGACAAUGUAUGCUAACUGCCGUAAAAUUCAGGAUGCUGAAAAUGUAUUUAGAUUUAUGGACCCAGCUCAGGCUGUUAGUUGGAAUGCAAUGAUUCUUGGUUUUAUUGACCUUGGGUUGGAGGAUUUAGCACUUGAAUGCUUUAGGAAAAUGCAAAUAGCAGAGAUCAAGCUUGACCAAACAACAUUAUCCACUGUCUUGCCAACAUGCAACUUAAAAUUUGGAAAGCAAAUUCAUGCUUUCAUUAGGAAAAGUAGUUUCGAUUUGGUUGUUCCAGUAUGGAAUGCUCUUAUCCAUAUGUACUCCAAAUGUGGAUGCAUUGGAGCUGCAUACUCUGUAUUUUCUAACAUGUUAAAUAGGGAUUUAGUGUCAUGGAACUCAAUGAUGGGAGGCUUUGCAAUGAAUGGGCUUGGCCAAGCUGCACUUGAGCUUCUACAAGAGAUGAAUCGUUCAGGCAUUUGCCCCAAUUCAGUAACUCUUACUUCUGUAUUGUCAGCAUGUAGUCACUCAGGUCUUGUGGAUGAGGGCCUUCAUGUCUUCUAUAGUAUGAUGGAGAACGGUUUCAACCCCACAAUGGAACACCAUGCCUGCAUUGUUGACAUGCUGGCACGUGAUGGUCUAUUUGAAGAUGCAGUUAGUUUUAUUCAUAAAUUGCCUUUGGAGCCUGAUAAGUGUAUUUGGGGAGCUCUGUUAGCUGCCUGCCUAGCCCAUCAAAAUGUUAAUGUUGCAAAGCUUGCUGCUGAACAGUUAGUUCAGUUGGAACCCGAAAAUCCGGGGCACUAUGUCACCCUGUCAAAUAUAUAUGCAAGAGCUGGAAGAUGGGAUGAUGCUGUACUGGUGAGAAAGCAAAUGGAAUCUCGAGGAUCGUUGAAGCCAUCAGGAAACAGUUGGUUUGAAUGUGGGAACUGAACAAAGGAAAGAUCUUAUGAAUAGGUGUAGAGAUACUUUGGGUCCAAAAGAUUUCAGUGAAAUUGGUCCUAAUAUGAAGCAAGCAUGUCACUAUGCAGUUAUCCAGAGGAUUUUCGGGCCUGACCGACCUCUUGUUCAAUGGAAG